AGUUAUGUGGUUUAGUUGGUUAAAGCAUCGGACUAGCGAUACGGAGUCGUGGGCUCGAAACCCGUCAAUACAA
rnacentral:tRNA from 1 species